rnacentral:rRNA from 1 species
UACGUAGGGGGCAAGCGUUGUCCGGAAUCAUUGGGCGUAAAGCGCGUGUAGGCGGUCCGGUAAGUCGGCUGUGAAAGUCCAGGGCUCAACCCUGGGAUGCCGGUCGAUACUGCCGGACUAGAGUUCGGAAGAGGCGAGUGGAAUUCCCGGUGUAGCGGUGAAAUGCGUAGAUCUCGAGAGGAACACCAGUGGCGAAGGCGGGUCUCUGGACAACACCUGACGCUGAGGCACGAAAGCCAGGGGAGCAAACGGG